rnacentral:lncRNA from 1 species
CUCUCUCUCUCAUUCUCUCUACAAUGGGAGGCCUUGCCUGUGCUGAUGGUGGUCAUGGCUCCUCCACCAAAGCCACCACCACCACCAUUAUCUUCAGGACUAAUAUCCUCUGAUAAAAAGAAAACCCCUUCUCCUCUCUCUCUCUCUCUAAAUCUAGGGCAAAGCCCUAGAUUGGGUGAAUCUGCAUCAUAUUGGCACCAAUGUUGUGUUGGUAUGGUAUUGUAACUGUGUAACAUAUUGUAUCAUGCCAACCAGUACCUGACCAGUAUGGAUUAUGGUUCCAAUUUUGAUGACAAUCAAGCAUAUGAGAACUAUGUCCAUAAAAAUAUGAGGAUAAUCAAUAUGAAUUGAAAAUUAAAUUUCCAGUAAGCAACAAAGGGAAGAAAAAGAUCAAUAUUUUGCUGAGAAAAAAUUGCAGUACCUUCACUUAAAUGUCAAAAAAUCUCAUGAUAGAUCUGCAAUAUCAGGUAUAUUUAUAGGAUAGGGAUCG